rnacentral:rRNA from 1 species
UACAGAGGUCUCAAGCGUUGUUCGGAUUCAUUGGGCGUAAAGGGUGCGUAGGCGGCGCGGUAAGUCGGGUGUGAAAUCUCGGGGCUUAACUCCGAAACUGCAUUCGAUACUGCCGUGCUUGAGGACUGGAGAGGAGACUGGAAUUUACGGUGUAGCGGUGAAAUGCGUAGAUAUCGGGAGGAACACCGAUGGCGAAGGCAGGUCUCUGGGCCACUACUGACGCUGAGAAGCGAAAGCAUGGGGAGCGAACAGG